ACAUGCCUACAACAUAGCAUUAACGCGACGAAUCCCAUUAGAACUCCGCAGUUAAGCCCGCUUAGGCUAGAGUAGUACUGGGUUGCGUGACUACCCUGGAAGUCCUAAUAUUUUACAUGCC
rfam:Picea glauca, whole genome shotgun sequence.